rnacentral:rRNA from 1 species
AUAUUGGACAAUGGGCGAAAGCCUGAUCCAGCAAUGCCGCGUGAGUGAUGAAGGCCUUAGGGUUGUAAAGCUCUUUUACCAGGGAUGAUAAUGACAGUACCUGGAGAAUAAGCUCCGGCUAACUCCGUGCCAGCAGCCGCGGUAAUACGGAGGGAGCUAGCGUUGUUCGGAAUUACUGGGCGUAAAGCGUAUGUAGGCUGUUUUGUAAGACAGGUGUGAAAUCCCAGAGCUUAACUUUGGAACUGCAUUUGUGACUGCAAGACUUGAGUAUCGGAGAGGUUGGCGGAAUUCCUAGUGUAGAGGUGAAAUUCGCAGAUAUUAGGAGGAACACCGAUGGCGUAAGCAGCCAACUGGACGAUUACUGACGCUGAGAUACGAAAGCGUGGGGAGCAAA